GGGGGUUUAGCUCAGUGGUAGAGCGCUUGCCUAGCAAGUGCAAAGCCCUGGGUUCGGUCCCCAGCUCCA
rnacentral:tRNA from 1 species